rnacentral:rRNA from 1 species
GGAAUUGACGGGGGCCCGCACAAGCGGUGGAGCAUGUGUUUAAUUCGAAGCAACGCGAAGAACCUUACCAGGUCUUGACAUCCCCUGACAACCGAGAGAUCGGGCGUUCCCCUUCGGGGGACAGGGUGACAGGUGGUGCAUGGUUGUCGUCAGCUCGUGUCGUGAGAUGUUGGGUUAAGUCCCGCAACGAGCGCAACCCUUGUCAUUAGUUGCUACAUUCAGUUGGGCACUCUAAUGAGACUGCCGGUGACAAGCCGGAGGAAGGUGGGGAUGACGUCAAGUCCUCAUGGCCCUUAUAGGUGGGGCUACACACGUCAUACAAUGGCUGGUACAAAGGGUUGCCAACCCGCGAGGGGGAGCCAAUCCCAUAAAGCCAGUCGUAGUCCGGAUCGUAGUCUGCAACUCGACUACGUGAAGUCGGAAUCGCUAGUAAUCGUGGAUCAGAAUGUCACGGUGAAUACGUUCCCGGGCCUU